AACGGUUGGGGCGAUGGAGCUCGCCAUUAACUGCUCUUGCAGCUGAUAGCUCCUGUUGGACG
rnacentral:ncRNA from 2 species